GAUGAACGCUGGCGGCGUGCCUAAUACAUGCAAGUCGAGCGAACAGACGAGGAGCUUGCUCCUCUGACGUUAGCGGCGGACGGGUGAGUAACACGUGGAUAACCUACCUAUAAGACUGGGAUAACUUCGGGAAACCGGAGCUAAUACCGGAUAAUAUAUUGAACCGCAUGGUUCAAUAGUGAAAGACGGUUUUGCUGUCACUUAUAGAUGGAUCCGCGCCGCAUUAGCUAGUUGGUAAGGUAACGGCUUACCAAGGCAACGAUGCGUAGCCGACCUGAGAGGGUGAUCGGCCACACUGGAACUGAGACACGGUCCAGACCCCUACGGGAGGCAGCAGUAGGGAAUCUUCCGCAAUGGGCGAAAGCCUGACGGAGCAACGCCGCGUGAGUGAUGAAGGUCUACGGAUCGUAAAACUCUGUUAUUAGGGAAGAACAAAUGUGUAAGUAACUAUGCACGUCUUGACGGUACCUAAUCAGAAAGCCACGGCUAACUACGUG
rnacentral:rRNA from 1 species